GAUUCUUCAUCGUGUCAGAGUUCUGCUCUUCUUCUUCUUCUUUUUUAACAUUUCUAAAUUUUUGGACCUUCGUACCUGAAACUUUCUCCACCAACUCUCCGGUAUCUCUCCUACUGCUGACUCUAGAACUCAUCUCUCUCCUGUCAUUCAGAUCAACAUGAAGAUCUCUAUCUUUGCUGGUGUUCUGCUGAUCUCUGCUGCUCUGAUGUUCCUGGGACCAUAACCUUCAGAUGCUCAGUCCUUUGAUGCUAGGCACACCUACCAUAAGAUGACUGCUGCCCAAUGUACCGAUGUGAUAAAAGAAAGAAAAAUCAAUGAGGAAAACAAAGUCUGCAAGAGUACCAAUACCUUCUUGAAUGGUAACAAUGCGUAUUCCACCGGAACAAUCUGUCGUAGUAGAGAAGGAGGGGAGGUGUGGAAACAAAACCCCAGUCUUAGAAUUAGCAACGAAAUUUACCCAAUUAUUGAAUGUAUUUGGGAUAGAGUUUCCAGGUAUCCCAACUGUAAGUACACAGGUACAGCUUAUACCGACAGGAGACUUAUAGUCAAAUGUGACAACAACAAUGAACCUUUUCACAUUGAAGGUAGUGAAAAGGUUCAACCACCACCUGUUAUCCCUCCAAUAUCUGGGUAAUCUGUUACUACCUGAUGAAUCAGAGUAAUCUGUUACUA